rnacentral:sRNA from 1 species
GCUGGGUGUGGUGGUGCACACCUGUAAUCCCAGCGACUAGGGAGGCUGAGUCAGGAGAAUCUCAAGUUCAAAGCCAGCCUCAGUAAAAGCGAGGCACUAAGCAAUGCAGUGAGACCCUGUCUCUA